rfam:Gossypium raimondii Chr08_contig_95, whole genome shotgun sequence.
AAUUUAUGGUACGAGCAUUUUUUAAUCAACAUUUUAAAGCAUUCCCACACCUCAUAAAAGCUGUCUCCUUUCAUCUGUCUAAAGACAACAAUCUCUCUUCUUAAUU